AGUGAACGCUGGCGGUAGGCCUAACACAUGCAAGUCGAACGGCAGCACAGGAGAGCUUGCUCUCUGGGUGGCGAGUGGCGGACGGGUGAGGAAUACAUCGGAAUCUACUUUUUCGUGGGGGAUAACGUAGGGAAACUUACGCUAAUACCGCAUACGACCUACGGGUGAAAGCAGGGGACCUUCGGGCCUUGCGCGAUUGAAUGAGCCGAUGUCGGAUUAGCGAGUUGGCGGGGUAAAGGCCCACCAAGGCGACGAUCCGUAGCUGGUCUGAGAGUAGGAUCAGCCACACUGGAACGGAGAGACGGUCCAGACUCCUACGGGAGGCAGCAGUGGGGAAUAUUGGACAAUGGGCGCAAGCCUGAUCCAGCCAUACCGCGUGGGUGAAGAAGGCCUUCGGGUUGUAAAGCCCUUUUGUUGGGAAAGAAAAGCAACCAGUUAAUACCUGGUUGUUCUGACGGUACCCAAAGAAUAAGCACCGGCUAACUUCGUGCCAGCCGCCGCGGUAA
rnacentral:rRNA from 1 species